rnacentral:rRNA from 1 species
CCUACGGGGUGCAGCAGUGAGGAAUAUUGGUCAAUGGGCGGAAGCCUGAACCAGCCAAGUCGCGUGAGGGAUUAAGGCCCUGCGGGUCGUAAACCUCUUUUGCCGGGGAGCAGAGGUCCGGACGUGUCCGGGCCGGGAGAGUACCCGGAGAAAAAGCAUCGGCUAACUCCGUGCCAGCAGCCGCGGUAAUACGGAGGAUGCGAGCGUUAUCCGGAUUUAUUGGGUUUAAAGGGUGCGUAGGCGGGCAUUUAAGCCGGCGGUCAAAUGUCGGGGCUCAAACCCGGCCUGCCGUCGGAACUGGGUGCUGUGAGUGGGCGAGAAGUAUGCGGAAUGCGUGGUGUAGCGGUGAAAUGCAUAGAUAGCACGCAGAACCCCGAUUGCGAAGGCAGCAUACCGGCGCCCUACUGACGCUGAGGCACGAAAGUGCGGGUAUCGAACAGGAUUAGAUACCCGAGUAGUC